AAGUCGUAACAAGGUAUCUGUAGGUGAACCUGCAGAUGGAUCAUUUCGAUGAAAACCUUUUUUCUGAGGUGUGGCUCGCACCUGUCCAACUAAACUUGAGCUACCCAAUUUCAACACGGUUGCAUCGGUUGGCUGUCAAACAGUGCCUCGGCGCUGGGAGGCGGUCGACACACAACACAAACACUUUUGAUGAUCUAGGAUUUUGAAUGAAGUUCAUUUUUAUGAUGGAACCGACUGGUAAUGCGGUCGUCUAAAUCUAAAAAACAACUUUUGGCAACGGAUCUCUUGGUUCUCC
rnacentral:misc_RNA from 1 species